rnacentral:rRNA from 1 species
GAGUUUGAUCGUGGCUCAGAACGAACGCUGGCGGCAGGCUUAACACAUGCAAGUCGAACGCGUGUAGCAAUACACGAGUGGCGCACGGGUGAGUAACACGUGGAUAUCUGCCUUUUGGUUCGGAAUAACCCUGGGAAACUAGGGCUAAUACCGAAUGGUUCCUACGGGAUAAAGAUUUAUCGCCAAAAGAUGAGUCCGCGUCCGAUUAGCUAGUUGGUGAGGUAAUGGCUCACCAAGGCGACGAUCGGUAGCUGGUCUGAGAGGACGAUCAGCCACACUGGGACUGAGACACGGCCCAGACUCCUACGGGAGGCAGCAGUGGGGAAUAUUGGACAAUGGGGGCAACCCUGAUCCAGCCAUGCCGCGUGAGUGAUGAAGGCCUUCGGUUGUAAGCUC